rnacentral:rRNA from 1 species
UACGUAGGGGGCGAGCGUUGUCCGGAAUCAUUGGGCGUAAAGCGCGUGUAGGCGGCCCGGUAAGUCCGCUGUGAAAGUCCAGGGCUCAACCCUGGGAUGCCGGUGGAUACUGUCGGGCUCGAGUCCGGAAGAGGCGAGUGGAAUUCCUGGUGUAGCGGUGAAAAGCGCAGAUAUCAGGAGGAACACCAAUGGCGAAGGCAACUCGCUGGGACGUGACUGACGCUGAGACGCGAAAGCGUGGGGAGCAAACAGG